UAGCCGUAAACGAUACUCGCUAGGUGUCGGCCACGGUGCGACCGUUGUCGGCGCCGUAGGGAAGCCGUGAAGCGAGCCACCUGGGAAGUACGGCCGCAAGGCUGAAAUUUAAAGGAAUUGGCGGGGGUGCACCACAACGGGUGGAGCUUGCGGUUUAAUUGGAUUCAACGCCGGAAAUCUUACCGGGACCGACAGCAACAUGAAGGCCAGGCUGAAGACUUUGCCGGAUUAGCUGAGAGGUGGUGCAUGGCGUAGUCGUGU
rnacentral:rRNA from 1 species